rnacentral:lncRNA from 1 species
UGGGGAGGCAGAAACCUGGUCUCCCUAUAGCCUCUGUACUGUCUGCAAACUAAAGAAUUCAGUAUGAAAUCUAGUGGAGAAAUGUUUGGGCUGAGAUCAGCACCUGUGCAGACAGGAAAAUUUUCUCUUUUCCUCAAGUGAAGGAUUUUUGAUUUUCUGCAUUCCAGUACUUAAGAGUUUCUUGCUUGUAAAUGCACUGGGAAAUUAUAUCAGCAUCUUUUGAUGAAGACAGUGGAGGUGCUGGGACUAGGAGACCAGACCUUCUUUGCAGGUGAAAUGCCAGUAACACCCUGAGAAGGUUGUCCUUUCUGUUCUCUGGCACUUGCGAGUGGCUGGAA